UCCCGUUCGUUCCCGUGUUUGGUAACUUUUUAUUCUGGUCCUCUGGAGCCUCCCAAAUCUCUUCUUCUUAUUCUUCUUCAUCUUCCUCUUCCGUUUCUCUGCUUGAUCUCGUGCUUCCAUCUCAAUACGCUGCGUUUAGAGUUCCCAUUUUGAAGAUACGCACGUGCUGAUUUUCUCUUUAUGUUCUUCCUCAUUACUACAAAAACUAGAAAUUCGCAAUCUAAAAAAUUUCGAUCUGCGCUGUAGCGUGCGUUUACGGUGAGCUUGAGUCGUGACCAGAGGGUGAAUAGCUGCGCCAGCUGCAGGUGGCGGAGGAGAUGACGGCGACGGUUUUGGUUGUUGGUUUUGGUGGUGGUGGUGGAGGUGGAGGAGGAAUGGGGAAGAAAGGUCGAUGAAUUUGGGGGAAGGAGAAUGCUGUAUUUGAAGCAACCUAGGGUUUUUCAGAGCAUGGAGUUGUGUGUUUUUGUGCAAUGCUAUUGUGGCUCCUCGUGUUAGGUGGUGAUCGUGCGAGAGGAAAUUUAGUGAUUUCGGUGACUAUAAUUUGCAUGCGAUUUUGAUGGUUUCCCUCUGAGCCUGAGGCUCGGGGGAUCUGAAUUAUUGAGCGAAGGAGAAGCCAUGGCGUCGUCGGAAAAUGAGACUUCUUCCCACUCUCCUCCUCCUCCUGCACGUGCCUGUAUGAACAAGUUUAGGCUCUAUGAGACACUAUCGAAGUUUUACAUGAUUGGAAGGGACAAGAGCAGGACAUAUUGGAGAGUGCUUAAGAUUGAUCGUCUAGAUCCCUCCGAGCUAAAUGUGCUUGAAGAUUCGACCACUUAUACAGAAAGUGAAUGUUCUGACCUGUUGAGGCGUAUACAUGAGGGGAACGUGUCCACAGGUGGAUUGAAGUUUGUUACAACUUGUUAUGGAAUUAUUGGAUUCAUAAAAUUUUUGGGGCCUUAUUACAUGCUGAUUAUCACAAAAAGAAGGCAAAUUGGUGCAAUCUGUGGUCAUACAGUGUAUGCUGUCUCAAAGAGUGAGAUGAUUCCACUGCAAAAUUCUUCUGUCCAUUCUAGCAUCAUGGAUUCUAAAAAUGAAAACAGAUACAAAAAGCUACUAUGCAUGGUUGACCUUACAAAGGACUUCUUUUUCAGCUACUCAUACCAUAUUAUGAGUAGUCUUCAAAGGAACUUGUGUGAUAGUGAGACAGGCCAUGUCCUUUAUGAGACCAUGUUUGUCUGGAAUGAGUUUUUGACUCGAGGAAUUAGGGAUCACCUCCAGAAUACUAUUUGGACAGUUGCACUAGUUUAUGGCUUUUUUAAACAGGACACACUUACAAUAUCUGGGCGGGAGUUCAUACUUACACUCAUUGCAAGACGGUCUCGACAUUUUGCUGGCACUAGGUAUUUGAGACGAGGUGUAAAUGAGAAGGGAAGAGUAGCUAAUGAUGUUGAAACUGAACAAAUUGUAUUUGAGGAUGUUCUUGAAGGUGUUCCGGUCCAAAUAAGCUCUGUUGUUCAGAACCGGGGUUCAAUCCCUCUUUUCUGGUCACAGGAAACUUCACGCUUAAAUCUUAAGCCAGAUAUUAUAUUGUCAAAGAAGGAUCAGAAUUAUCAAGCCACCAGACUUCACUUUGAAAAUCUUGUCAAAAGAUACGGGAAUCCCAUAAUAAUUUUGAAUUUGAUAAAGACACACGAGAGGAAGCCUCGUGAAUCUAUACUUCGUUCUGAGUUUGGUAAUGCUAUUGAUUACAUCAACAAAGAUUUAUUAGAGGAGAACAGGCUGAGGUUUCUUCACUGGGAUCUAAAACAUUUUCAGAGUUUUGCAUACGGUAAUUUUGAUAUGGGAAGCUUUCAACUCACAAGACAAGAUAUUGACAAUGAAGAUGCUAAUAAUUUAGAGAGGAAACCUUGUGGAGGAAACAACGUUGCUAACGGAAACUGUUCUGCCAAACUGCCCAUGUUCCAGAUGGGGAUUCUCAGAACCAAUUGCAUAGACUGCUUAGAUCGCACAAAUGUUGCACAAUAUGCAUAUGGGUUGGCUGCUCUUGGCCACCAGCUUCAUGCUCUUGGAAUUAUUGACCACCCAAAAAUUGAUAUUGACGAUCCUCUAGGUGAUGAUUUGAUGGGAUUUUAUGAACGGAUGGGUGACACACUUGCACACCAGUAUGGUGGUUCGGCUGCACACAACAAGAUAUUCUCUGAGAGGAGGGGACAAUGGAAAGCUGCAACACAAUCCCAAGAGUUUUUCAGAACUCUUCAACGCUAUUACAGCAAUGCUUACAUGGACGCUGAGAAGCAAAAUGCAAUUAACAUAUUCCUGGGGCAUUUUCAGCCACAACUGGGUAAGCCCGCUCUAUGGGAGUUGGGCUCAGAUGAACAUUAUGAUAUAGGGAGAAAUGGGGAUGAUGAUGCAAGGUCAUUUGUCAAAAGAUGUUUCUCAGAUGGAAGCAUCCUUCGUGACAGCUCUACACCUAAGUCAGCCCAAAAUCUGAAGCUUGAAAAAUUCUCCAAGUUAGGUUUGUUGGACCAAUCAGAAGUAAGCAAGGCUUUUUCUGAGUCAUCACCUGAAAUAUCAAUUUCUGAGAGUGACAUGUCAUUUUCAAGGUCUGUAUCUGUAUUAUUUAAUAUGAAUUUAAAUAUGUAAUCCAGUUCAUGGCAUGUAGGAAGAGAUAAGUGCACACACUGCAUAUAUACUCCAAAUGAUUCUCCUGUAACCUGUAAGGGAAAGUCCCAGAUUCAAAUAUCCUCUCACCAUUACCCAGCUGGAUAAUCUAGCUUUGAUCACCGAUGUUAAUAUAGAAUCACUUUACUAAUCCAUUUUACAGAGAAAAAGAUAGAUUGUUGAUAGUACAUUUUAUUGUUUGGCUUUACAAUCGUUAUUAUUAGCAAUCUUAUUCUCAAAUGUUUUUUUGUCUUCUCAUAGCUGGACUUUCUGUAUGAAAAUGUAGCAGAGCAGCUGAAAUAAAUAUUCUCAACUUAUAUUCUGGAAUAUGGCAAACUGUUAUUCUAUUUGAGAGAGUCUUCCCUUGUCCUUAUAUUCUCUGCUGUGUUUGCAGUGAAUAGACCAAAUUACAGUGCAAAAUUUGUAUCUAAAUUGUGUCCAUGACACACCAUACAGUACUGGUACAAGUUGCCACCUUAGCGGGUGUUUAGGGCAUAAAAAGCUCUUAGGACAUGAUAUGGAAUAAAAAGGUGCAUUUUUGUAAUUAUACUGAAAACAUAUGAACUAGAAAAUGGAAUUAGAAAAAUAAACCGAAGACCUCCUUAUGCUUCUGGCUUGCAUGAUGGCAUAUUCAGUUAUUUUAUGCUUUUUGUUUAUCUAGUCAUCAUAUGAAUGGUUUGACUUUGAUAUUCUUUUUGUUUGUAUAGGUACACUUCCCCAAUGCCUCGGAGACAACUUUUUGGAGACGUACAAAGAGAGCGCUUCCUCAAUAAUGAUCUUAUUUCUUGUUCUGGACAUGGGGAUUCAUUCAGCUGUUCCAACUUUGUUGACCUGGAUUGGCUGUCUUCUUCAGGAAAUUCAUGUGACGACGAGCCAUAUGGAAGGUCACCGAUUACCAACUCUCUGAUUACUGGGCUUUCUUCAGAAAAUGUUGUUAAUGGAGUUAUUAUGGAAGGAGAUACAACUCCCUCCACUAGUGAUUUAGACUCAAACAUUAAGGGAAGCGAGGGGACUGGGCCAGAGUUAUCCUAUGGCGAUGCACAGUCCAAAGUUCUUGAGGAAUUUCCUGAUACUUUUGCACACUGGGUGACUUAUGGACAGACACUUUGCCAUUGAAUAUUCGCAUAAUGAUCCCUUUCGUUAGUAUAUAAUGUAAAUUUAUUUAAUUGACUUGGCUUGCCCGAAAGAUGCUGGGUAGAAGAGACUAGAGUGGGCUUAUCAUACAGAAGAGGCAGGAUAAAGAAAUAACACAGGCUUUCGCGUAGUCUUCUGUGAGGUGCUGAUAGAAGAAGAUUUCCUACCGGCUUUCUUGGUAAUGACUUGCAGCAUUAAUUCUGUCGUAAUAUUCUCAAUCAAAUCUUGAGGUAUAGUAGGAAGGGUAAAUAGCAAACUGUUGUAAAAUUGUUUUUGUUUUCCUCACCUAUGGAGCUCAAUUCCAUACUUCUUUCAUCAGUUCAUGAUCAUAUUAGGAGUAUUUCUUGUAAAUAUUGUUACCCUCCAGGUCUGAGCUCCACUUCUAGAAUUGCAAAUAAUUAAUUCUUUUAAAUAAUUUUGCUUCUUGUAAUGUGUAAUUCUGUCACGCUAUCAUCCUUAACACUGCACUGCUGUGCGGCUUUCCGUUUUCCUACAGCAGUGAUUUCAG